rnacentral:rRNA from 1 species
GGCGACCGGCGCACGGGUGAGUAACGCGUAUGCAACUUACCUAUCAGAGGGGGAUAACCCGGCGAAAGUCGGACUAAUACCGCAUGAAGCAGGGAUCCCGCAUGGGAAUAUUUGCUAAAGAUUCAUCGCUGAUAGAUAGGCAUGCGUUCCAUUAGGCAGUUGGCGGGGUAACGGCCCACCAAACCGACGAUGGAUAGGGGUUCUGAGAGGAAGGUCCCCCACAUUGGUACUGAGACACGGACCAAACUCCUACGGGAGGCAGCAUG